GGGAGGAGGAGUUGCGGGAGGGGGAGGCGGAGCCUCGAGAAAGCGACAAGGGAGAAGCCGGGGCGGAGCUGUGAGGAAGCUUGGCGAGGAGGAGCUGUGGGAGGAGAUGGGGAGAAGCAGGGCGGAGCUGCGAGGAAGGAGGCGGAGCUGCGGGGAAGGAACUUGGGUUGGAGGAGUUAAGGGAGGCGCCUGUGGGGCAGGUGUUUGAGGAGAGCUGGGUGAAGAGGCAGGCAGAGCCGGGGAGGAGCAGGGCGGGGCUUUCAGGGGGAGGAGCAGCUGAGGGAGGAGCCGAGUGGAGCUGCGGAGGAGUGGGGCGGAGCUGAGGAAACGCUGGGACGCAGUGGGCUGGAGCUGGGAGGAGCUGGGGGAGCAGUUUCUGGGACUGAGACGUGGGAAAGAACUGUGUGAGGAGGCGCUCCUGGAAGAGGCGGCAGAGCCGGGGAGGAGCAGGGCGGAGCUUUCAGGGGGAGGAGCAGCUGAGGGCGGAGCCGAGUGGAGCUGGGGAGGAGUGGAGCGGAGCUGACAGGGAUGGAGCUGUGGGUCUUGGGAACCCAUGGAGGGUGGGCGGGGACAGGCAGUGCCCUUUUGAGUCUCUUGACAUAGGCGUCCAGUCCAGGCCGCAGCAGUCGGCCAGAGUCGCAGUGGCAGCCCCCAGCGUUGUCAGCGACCUCAUCGGACCGUCGGAAUGGACCUCAGACGACAGGGAGGCGGAGAGAGGGCGGAGCCUCUGGGCUGAGUCCUGCAUCUCAGGGCUGAAUGCUCAGGCCAGUUCCCCUCCUCCAGGCCGCCCUGGGACUGCUGGCCAAGUCCUGAGGUACAGUCUUGCUCUGGCCUUUUUGCAGGUGAGAAGGAAAAUCCCCACACUGUUUCCUGCUGCUCCGCGGACCUGGGGUCCCACACAAAGCCAGCUUCCCUGUCAGAGCCCUUUUCUGUCCUCUUCCUCUCCCCUGGGGGCUCAAGCCACUCGAUGCCACCCGCCUGGCUCUGCUCCUUUGGUUCCCUUACCGUCGCCCUCCCUCCCUGUUUCUUUGAUGACCAAGUCCUGUGUCCCUGCCUCCCAAGUGACCGAUCAGAAUAAAUGCUUCUCUUCCUGUCCCCACUGCCCCUUCCGGAGUUCAGGCCUCAUGGCCGGGGCCUGUGCUAUUACCUGAGCCCCCCAUCGGCCUGGACGCCUCCUGUCUCUCCUCCUCCAGGGGCUGCUCCACACGUGUCUAACUGCACAUGUGUCCUUGUCAGCCCCAGACUGAAAACCCUGCCAAGUCCUCUCUUGUUUAAGCUCCAACACCUCGGGGCCCAGGUAGGGCCUUCCAGUGGCCCCAGCUCUCCCUCCUGGCCACCCAACAGUCUAGGUCACUGGGCUGUCCCUGCACAGUGAGCGCACUUGCCCUACCCCGACUGGAGGCUUUGGCACGCGCGGUUCCACACCUGGAAGGCUGGCUCCUCUUGUCCUGACAAACGCCUGUCCUCCUUCCGGGCGCAACUGGAAGCUCCCCAUCUCCGCCCGCCCCCCGGGCGCCAGGCACUCUUGUCUGGGAGUUCUGGUAAUGCUGCGCCUUGCUGCUGCCAUCCUUCCCUGGGCUUUUCCUCCUGGGUUGUAGCUGCUCUCCAAGAGUCCGUGGCCCGCUCAGCGGCGCUGGGUCCCUUGACGGCGAGGACAGUGUCUUACUCAUUUCCCUAAGCUGGGUGCUCCGACACGGUGGGGUGGGUGCUUAGGAAACUUUGGGUCCGCAGAGGACUGCUUUGUCUUCCAGCGAGCUGCACCUGCUCUCUCCUUGCAGAAGCCCGAGGAAGCAGGGAUGCUGGCCCUGAGAAUGGUUACCAGCUGUGUCCUGACACCCCAGAACCUCCUCCUAGCGGUUUCAAAUCAUGAGGGACGGUUCCCGGAACGCUGGGCUGCUGCUGGAGCUCCUCCCGAAUCUUGCUUGAAGCAAGAGAACUUGCCCAGUGAGCCGGAGACGUUUGAUAUGUGGCUGCUGGUGGGGAACAGCUAUGAUGGUGCUGCUCAGUGGGCGCCGAUCCUUACUACAAUCUGAUGUCUGACUUCCCGGUGAGUUUCUUCACCUGCUCCUUCCCGUGUCCUCCACAAAUGAAGUCCUGGAAGAGCGGGCCUCCUCCCCCUCCCUCUCUGGUCAUCAGGAUGCCUCCUCCUGCCCCUCGGAGGCUGGUUUCCUCCUGUCUUCGUAGGCCAGCUUUGGACUCAGUAUUGGCCUAGAGGCUCCAAACUGUAUGUGACCCCAAAGGCCCUGUCCCCGGCUUCCGCUGUGUCCCCUGGCAGCUCCAAGCUCCGGUUGGCCAAGGCCCUCUUCACACGGCCCAGAUUGUGUGGUCCAGCCUGAGAUCUUUCUGAAAGGUUCCUCGGAAGACAUCUGACUAACCCCACACUUCAUUCUGGAGGAUGUUGGAUUCCAGGCUCUCUUGCUCAAGACCACGUGACACAUCCUCGGGAAUGGCCCAGCGUCCCUCAGACAAGUGACACCCGCUGCUCAGAACCUCCAGCACGGGUCCUGGGGUGGCUGCAGAGACAGAGUUGAUUGAGUCUCCCAUACCUGUGUUGAGUUGGGCCCUGUGUCCAACGGCCUCGAACUAUCUGGUUGUCCCAUUUCCCAGUGUUGGGUCGCCCGGUGCAGAGCCCGAGGUCCCUUUGGGAAGGGCUGGGGGGUCAUUCCUGUGUCUCCUGCCACAGUACUGUAAUGUCCUUCCCCCGUGGACCCGGCCACCUCCCUAGUCGGUUCCAGGUCUGAAAACUGGCUCAGGGGCAGAGCCUGGGCAAGGGAUCACAAUUCAUGUAUUGGGGUGACUGCC